GCACCCGUAGCUCAAUUGGAUAGAGCGUCGGUCUACGGAACCGAAGGUUGGGGGUUCGAACCCCUCCGGGUGUA
rnacentral:tRNA from 1 species